rnacentral:rRNA from 1 species
GAUGAACGCUAGCUACAGGCUUAACACAUGCAAGUCGAGGGGAAACGCCAUCGAAAGCUUGCUUUUGAUGGGCGUCGACCGGCGCACGGGUGAGUAACGCGUAUCCAACCUGCCCAUCACUUGGGAAUAACCUUGCGAAAGUAAGACUAAUACCCAAUGAUAUCCCACGAAGGCAUCGGAAUGGGAUUAAAGAUUUAUCGGUGAUGGAUGGGGAUGCGUCUGAUUAGCUUGUUGGCGGGGUAACGGCCCACCAAGGCAACGAUCAGUAGGGGUUCUGAGAGGAAGGUCCCCCACAUUGGAACUGAGACACGGUCCAAACUCCUACGGGAGGCAGCAGUGAGGAAGAUUGGUCAAUGGGCGAGAGCCUGAACCAGCCAAGUAGCGUGCAGGAAGACGGCCCUAUGGGUUGUAAACUGCUUUUAUAAGGGAAUAAAGUGGGUCACGUGUGACUUUUUGCACGUACCUUAUGAAUAAGGACCGGCUAAUUCCGUG